rnacentral:rRNA from 1 species
UACGUAGGGUGCAAGCGUUGUCCGGAAUCAUUGGGCGUAAAGCGCGCGUAGGUGGCUUCGUAAGUCCGUUGUGAAAGUCAAAGGCUCAACCUUUGAAAGCCGAUGGAUACUGCGGAGCUAGAGUACGGAAGAGGCGAGUGGAAUUCCUGGUGUAGCGGUGGAAUGCGCAGAUAUCAGGAGGAACACCAAUUGCGAAGGCAGCUCGCUGGGACGUUACUGACGCUGAGACGCGAAAGCGUGGGGAGCAAACAGG